rnacentral:rRNA from 1 species
GAUGAAUGCUGGCGGCGUGCCUAACACAUGCAAGUCGAGCGGUAACAGGAGUAGUUUACUACUUGCUGACGAGCGGCGGACGGCUGAGUAACGCGUGGGAACGUGCCCCAAAGUGAGGAAUAACUGCCCGAAAGGGUAGCUAAUACCGCAUAUGAUCUUCGGAUUAAAGGAUUUAUCCGCUUUGGGAGCGGCCCGCGUACGACUAGGUAGUUGGUAGGGUAAUGGCCUACCAAGCCGACGAUCGUUAACUGGUCUUAGAGGAUGAUCAGUCAGACUGGAACUGAGACACGGUCCAGACUCCUACGGGAGGCAGCAGUGAGGAAUCUUCCACAAUGGGCGAAAGCCUGAUGGAGCAACGCCGCGUGCAGGAUGAAGGCCUUCGGGUUGUAAACUGCUUUUAUAAGUGAAGAAUAUGACGGUAACUUAUGAAUAAGCACCGGCUAACUACGUGCCAGCAGCCGCCGCG